AUUGAACGCUGGCGGCAGGCUUAACACAUGCAGUCGAACGAGUGGCGGACGGGGUAGUAAUGCUUGGGAAUCUGGCUUAUGGAGGGGGAAAACGACGGGAAACUGUCGCUAAUACCGCGUACCAUAGGAAGAGCCCAAUAGUGAUUAGGUAGUUGGAGGGGUAAUGGCCUACCAAGAAGACGAUCUCUAGCUGGUCGGGGAGGAUGACCAGCCACACCGGGACUGAGACACGGCCCUGCCUCCUACGGGAGGCAGCAGUGGGGAAUAUGGGGCAAUGGGGGAAACCGGACGCAGCCAUGCCGCGUGAAUGAAGAAGGCCUUCGGGUUGUAAAGUUCUUUCGGUUACGAAGCGUUAAUCACAGAAGAAGCACCGGCUAACUCCGUGCCAGCAGCCGCGGUAAUAC
rnacentral:rRNA from 1 species